ensembl:lncRNA
UCUAAAAUGGAUUUGAUUGAUAUACUUACACCCUCUCUCGUUUCCCCUCUCCUCCUCUCUAGAACCUACACCAGAAUAAAAGAACCUUGUCUAAUGCCUGGCGAGGCAGACCAUCAGGAGAGACUGCCUGGUGAGGGAGACCAGCAAGAGAGACUGCCUGGUGAGGUAGACCAUCAAGAGAAACUGCCUGGUGAGGGAGACCAUCAAGAGAGACUGCCUGGUGAGGGAGACUAUCAAGAGAGACUUCCUGGUGAGGGAGACCAUCAAGAGAGACUGCCUGGCGAGGGAGACCAUCAAGAGAGACUGCCUGGCGAGGGAGACCAUCAAGUGAGACUGCCUGGCGAGGGAGACCAUCAAGAGAGACUGCCUGGCGAGGGAGACCAUCAAGAGAGACUGCCUGGUGAGGGAGACCAUCAAGAGAGACUGCCUAGCGAGGGAGACCAUCAAGAGAGACUGCCUGGUGGGGGAGACCAUCAGGAGAGACUGCCUGGUGAGGGAGACCAUCAAGAGAGACUGCCUGGUGAGGGAGACCAUCAAGAGAGACUGCCUGCUGCUGCAGAGCUUUGA